AGUUACAUUAUGAAUUUUAAGAUUUAGAGAAAACAUCAUCAACUAAGUCCAUGUGUGUAACACGAACAUUUUAAAUGAUUUAGAUACGGUAAUAUACCUUUGUAGCCUACUCCAAAUGCACACUCUAACUAAAAAGCCCACUGGUCUCCAAACCCACCUUUCUCUACCUGAAAAAUCCCACUGAAACCUUACGUGGCAAUGUGUAGAUCUUUGUAAUGAUGACAAACUGCACUUCCAGUUCUUACAUAAUCCAUUAAUUUUUUUCUUCUCUGGGUAAAAGCCAAACGCCAGUACACUCGCAGUCCUUCAUUAACUUAAACAGCCUCAGUAGAAGGGUGUUUUAGAGACACUAAUAGGAUGUGGCAUUUGUCACUAAGACAUCAUCGGCUUAAUUUUUCUGAUGAUGCUAAUAAUAUCUUUCCUCUAUGAAAUAGGAGAGAAUAAGUUAUUUAACAACAAAUACUUCACACAACAAAGCAAAACAACAAAUGAACAUUGAAUCUUCACUAAUAAGCAAUGCAAAUUCGUUGCUUUUCACCUUAGCAACAUAAAUAUUUUUUUUCCAAAGGUGACCAUUAUAUAUUAUAUUAAACAACAAAACAUUGGAGUCUGGACUGUAAAAACUCUGCUACUAAGUAUUAUCAAC
rnacentral:lncRNA from 1 species